rnacentral:miRNA from 1 species
UGGGCCGAGCUUGGACAAGCAUA